rnacentral:lncRNA from 1 species
GUUUCAGCAAGUUGCUUUUCAGCUAGAGCUGGGUCAGGAAUAUUUUUUUCUCAAACAUUGACAGAAUGGCUGAAGUGUUCAGAUUUUCCGUGUCAUCACUAAGAUAUCUGUAAGUGUUCCUGUUAUGAUGCAGAAAAUCAUUUUUGAGGAUGUUUAAGGAGUAAGUGCAGCACAGCAUACAACCAUCAUCUUCCACAGUGCGAACUGCUUGCUGAACACACCGAGGGGUGGAAGCAGGAGAGAAGAGAGCAACCAGAACAGAGCAUAGGGCAUUACGAAGACCAAUUGAUGCCAUGUAGAAAAUCCAUAGCACAACCCAAACAUGUCUGAGGAUCCUGUCUUUCUACUUGGUGUUGGUGGUAACAAUUUCAGUGUUCAUGAGGAGAACUGACACAAUGAAUCAGAAGCAAAGAGAGGAAACACAGUUGAGAGAACCUGGAAGCAACAACACUCCAGUGGCACACCUUGCACCCAGACCUUAAUUUCUAAUAAGAUUCUCCAACAAGAGAAACCAGUGCUUCUUGAAGAAAUGGCUGAUUCUAGAACUGAAAGCAUCGUAUACAAGAUGGGACUAGAGGAUCUUGAACUAUCGGAAACUAAGAAAGUGCUCAAGAAAAGAAAGAAAGCGGCCGGGCAUGGUGACUCACACCUGUAAUCCCACUUUGGGAGGCUGAGGUGGGCGGAUCACAAGGUCAGGAGAUCGAGACCAUCCUGGCUAACACGGUGAAACCCCGUCUCUACUAAAAAUACAAAAAAUUAGCCGGGCUUGAUGGUGGAUGCCUGUAGUCUCAGCUACUCAGGAGGCUGAGGCAGGAGAAUUGCUUGAACCCGGGAGGCAGAGGUUGCAGUGAGCCCAGAUCAUGCCAUUGGACUCCAGCCUGGGCAACAGAGUGAGACAUCAUCUCAAAAAAAAAAAAAAAAAAAGAAAAGUAAAGAAAGAAAACUCAAUGAUGGGAGGAUGUCCAAAGGACAUAGGAGCCAAGUGAACUGAAGGAGCUCCCAAUAGCCCAAAUGGGAACAAUUUGAGCAACAAAAAGAAAGUAGUGUUGUAUUACAAUCCAAAAUAUAAAAUAAAUAUCUUUAAGUCCAUACUAUUAUAGAGAAGUGAUUGAAUCAAUAAAUAAGUCAAUGAGAAUAGACAAAUUUCCUGUGCAGCAGAGUUCCAAAUAAUUUAUGCGGAUGGCCCCCAAAGAGCGAAGAAUAACUCUCCUCUCCUUAAGUAUGAGCUGCAUAUUGUGACUUUCUUCAAAAGAGUAAAGGAUAGAAAAGGGGAGAAAAGAAUAACCUUACACUGAAGAAACCUGACAAACACUACCUCAGCCAGGUGAUAAAGGGGAACGUCACAUGUUAACAAGGUGAACAUGAUGUCAAUAGUGUGUGCCUUUGGUACGAUGUGAUAAGAAUGGCAUUUUACUUUUUGGUCUUCCUCCCCAAAACCCAUAACCCCAAUCUCAUGGGAAAAAUAUCAGGCAAUCCCAAAUUGAGGGACAUUCUAUAAAAUACCUGACCAGUACUCCUCAUACAUAAUAAAAGACACAGAAACUCUGAGACUGUCAUGACCAAGAGAAGCUUAAAGAGAUGUAAUAACUAAAUGUAAUGUGGUGUACUGGAUGGAAUUCUGGAAAAGAAAAAGGAUAUCAGGUAAAACUAAGGAAAUCUGAAUAAGGCAUGAGCUUUGGCUAAUAAUAAUGCAUCAAUAUGCAUUCAUUAAUUCUAACAAAAUUGCUAUUCUAAUAUAAUAUGUUAAUAAGAGGGGAAAUUGGAUGUGGGGGAUAUGGGAACUUUCUGUACCCUCUUUACAACUUUUCUUUAUUUUAUUUUAUUUUAUUAUUUUUUUGGGGACAGAGUCUCACUCUGUUGCCCAGGCUGGAGUGCAAUGGCAUGAUCUCCGCUCACUGCAACCUCCGCCUCCUGGGUUCAAGCGAUUCUCCUGCCUCAGCUUCCCAAGUAGUUAGGAUUACAGGCACGUGCCACCAUACCUGGCUAACUUUUUUUCUUUGUAACUUUCCUUUAGGUAGAAGACCAUUCUAAAAUAAAGUUUAUUUAAAAAAUUUAAAAU